GCAUCCUGCCGCAGGUGUCCCCCCACUCGCAGCCCUCCGAGGGGCGGGCUCUGUGCGCUUCGGACACUGGGAGUUUGCGGGUUUUAAUGAUUAUCGUUAUGAUGAUGAUGAUGAUGAUCCCUUUUCUCCUCCGCGCACGUGGUUGCAAAGACUCGUACCAUUUGCAAACGGGACUCCUCCACCCAGGUUACCUGUGACUUCUGAACAGAAGAACAACUAAGUAUGUUGAAAAGCCUUCACCUUGAAACUCAAUUCUGAGGCCCUCUGACAGCCAGAAUCAGACUUUUUAGGUGCUCUUUAUUGCUUUACAAUAAAGAGUGAAAACUUUGUACACUCCAGAAGGAAUCUGAAGUGCAAGGCGACCAGGACAUUAUCCUUUUGGAUCGUGCUGCACCACAGGCACUACCUAAACCAGACAAUUAAGCAUCAGUAACUGCUGCCCGAUCAGUUCUCUGCUGCUUGGUCAAAUUUUCACUGGGUUUUGCAUUUUCAGAGGUGAAAGUGUGAUUCGUAAUCCCUGUCCCAUAUAAUCUCCUGACACUUUAGGAGCACUAGCAAUCAAAAAUAACACACAUUUAUUCCAGUAUCAAAAUAAAGCUUGUAAAUACAAACUAAACUUUGCAUGACGAAAAUGAAA